GGGAAAGAGAGAGACAGAGAGAGAUGGUAAGGAGACCUGAAGGGUUGAAAUAUCACCAAAGAACUAGCAAUGGAGAGGGGUGCAUGGAAAUAGGCUAUCCACGUGCCUACCCCAACUUGUUUGGGACUGAAAGGCUUUGUUGUUGUUGCUGUUUGGUACCAUAAGGCUUCAAGUACUACCUGAAGCGUUGUCCAACUUUGGUGAUUUAUGGUGGGUUAAAUCUGAGCCAUUCAAGUAAUACUCCACAAUUUUCCUGGAUUUCACGAACUAUUCCUCGUGCAUG
rnacentral:lncRNA from 1 species